UUGCAGGCGUCGCCUGGGACACCCAGCUGCAGAUGUGGGCAGCGCCCAGAGCCGGCUCCGAGUGAGGGGCAGCCCCGUGCCGGGCCCGCCCUGCUGCCCGGCCUGUUCCUGGCUUCCGCGCAGCGGGCCACCCACUGCCUAGACAGCAGUUCCCACGCGAGGAGCCCCGCGCCCUGCAGCUGCAGCCUCAGGCGAAGCUCCACCCCGAUGACGCCAGAGGACUGGGCUUCCGCAUCCCCGGACCUGGCCGGCCCAUCCUCUAGCCUGCUCCAGCGUGGUUGCUAUGCGGUGAGUAGCUUUUCUCCGCCACAACCUUCUGCUGUGAUGUUUCUGUCUUGGAGCCAGCUAACUGUGAACUGAAACCUCGGAAACCGUACUUUUGUCCCAACAAUGGAAAGAGCUGGGGAUGUAACUCAGUGAUAGACUACUCCAGGUUCAGUUCCUACUAAAAGCAAGAAGGAAGGAAGGAAAGAAAAAAAAAGAGGAAAAGAAAGAAAAGAAAAAAGGCAAGAAUGUUAGGCCUGAUUUCUGCUUUCUCCUGGGGUGCAAAAGGAAAGGGGAAAGAAAGAAAGAAAGAAAGAAAGAAAGAAAGAAAGAAAGAAAGAAAGAAAGAAAGAAAGAAAGAAAGAAAGAAAGAAAGAAAAAGAAAGAAAGAAGGAAGGAAGGAAGGAAGCAGGCAAGCAAGUGCAAAGCUUUGGCUCAGCACUGGCCCCAGAGAGUGCCAAGUGGACCAGGGCCUGCAGGGGUCGUCGCUGUGUGGGAGCAGCAGAGGUUGUCGGAGGAUCCCUCAAGGCUUUGGCUUUGCUAAGCUCAGAUGUCCCCUUCCCAGCCCUGCUUGUCUUCCUCUAUCCUAAGCUCCCAUUGUAGCCACUCCCUCUUGCUCUUUGGGAGGGGGGCUCCCUCAUUCUAGACUUCAAGGCCCCGCUCACUUCUCCUGAGGCUAAGCGGACCAUGGACAAGCAGCACUCACAUAUGGCCGGGGCAGACCAGAGGGUCACUCAAGCCCUGUGCUCUGAGUCUGGCAGAGAUGAGGAGGGUUAAUAAUUCACUAAGAAAUCAAAGCUUGCUGGAAGCUUAGGCAAGAGGAUCAUGAGUUCAAGGCCAGCCUGAGCUGUGUAGCACGUUUAAGGCCAUCCUGAACUGCAUAGUAAGACCUUGUCUUAAAAUCAAACCAAACCACACCAAACCAGUCUGUUUAGCCAGGCAGCCUUUGGUAGCAUGGGAAAUGUGGUACCUGAUAGUACCUGCUGGUGACAGCAGUCAUCCAGAAUCUAAUAAUGGCUUGGUCUGUCGGAAGCUGUCACUUCCUUGGUUCCUGCUCCUUACCUGAGCCUGGAUCUCCAGGCUUUACAUCACUUCUGGGAGCUCCACAGUAUCUUCCGUGUCUUCAUAGGCCAGCCAGGGUCAGGUUCUGUUAAUUACACUCAAGAACUCGGAUUUCCAUCUACCUUGUUACCUCAAGAUCAAACUUGACCACAGGGCCCUCUAGCAUGUGACCCUCCCUGGCCUGGCUGCAUUUCCCAGUGCAGGGCAACCAGCAAGUUCAGGGCUGCAGCAGUGACCCUGAGAGCACAGAGGCAAGGAAAUGGCCUUGCUGCCACGUGGACACCGCCCACUGCCGGGGAAGGACAUAAUGGGGCCAAUCGUGACAGCAUGACGAUGACAUUGAGGGUGACGCUGUGGAGUGAUAGGAAGCAAGGAAAUGGCCUUGUUACCUAUCUUGUUACCUCAAGAUCAAACUAAUCCCACCUGGGCAUGGUAGUGCACACCUGUGAUCCUAGCACUGGGGAGGCUGAGGCAGGAAGAUCACCAGGAGUUCAAGGCCAGGCUAGACUACACAGUGAGAUCUUGUCUCAAAAAAAAAAAAAAAAAAAAAAAAAAAAAAUCAAACAUCCCAUUUGUCCUCAGGGCUGGGGAUUUAGCUCAGCAGCAUAAGCACCUGCCUGGCAAGCACGAGGUCAUGAGUUCAAUCCCCAGUACCAAAAAAAAAAAAAAAAAAAAAAAAAAAGUGGAUUCCCAUUUGUUCUCAUCAGGUGCCAUAACCAUUCAUGUUACCAUCUUUGUCACCUGCAACAUCAACAGCUUUCACCAUUUUCAUGUUUUCAAACUCUGUCUGCUGGAAAUAACAACCUCUGUUAAUGUUUUUGGCAGGAAGAUAUUUAAUACAGGGCAGGAGAAACAGUUGACAGAGUCGGAAUGAGGCAAGCCUUCAGGAGUGACUCUGGAACUACACAGAACUUAGCUGUCUAGAGAGCCACAACCAAGCUGGGCAUGGAGGUACACAUCUGUAAUCCCAUCAGUUUGGGAGGCCGAGGCAGGAGAAUCACAAAUUUGAGCCUGAGUAACUUGGAGAGACCUUGUCUCAAAUUAAAAAAAUAAGAAAGCACUGGGGAUGUAGCUCAGUGUGACAGCCCUGAGUUCAAUUCCCAGUACUGCAGAGAGAGACAGAGACAGAGACAGACAGAAAGAGGCAGAGACAGAGACAGACAGAGACAGAGAGACCAACACAAGAAUCAUGGAUCCAAGAUACCUCCCACCUCCAGGCCAAGCUUCAGUCCAGGAGCCAGGAAGUUUAUGAACCUGGUCUGCCAGCACUGCAUUCCUUGUUUCAGUCGCUGCUGGGCAACCAGAAAGCCAGAUGCUGAUGGACCCCAGGUGGCUGCACAGAAAAACCUCCUGUUACUGUAAUCUUGCUGGCUGGCAGAAACAGGAAAAGGGGGUGGGGAGCACUGCAGGAUGAAACGGCGGCAGCAGCACCACCGGCAUCAUGCGGUGCUCACCGGGCCGCGCUCUGGUGACGACUGUCUGUUUUAUGAAUGCAGAAACGGAAACACAGGACGGUGCCCUACUCAGUUUUCUGUCUGCAUCUUGCUGGGACUCAGGCUGCAGGGGAGGGAGGUGGUGGUGUCAGCUGUGCGCCUCCCCCGUGAGGAUGCACAGUACCCACCCUGCCACAUCACUGCCACUGACUGUCACCUGCCCAUGGAGGCUAUGAGCUGCCACCCCAUUAAUCAUCCCCAGAGCCCCCAUCAAGUUAUCAUCAGCCUGCUGCCUCCUCCAUCAACAUCUAACAGGGCCGUCACCUUUCCU